rnacentral:rRNA from 1 species
ACGCUCGACACCUACUGGAGGCAGCAGUGGGGAAUAUUGCACAAUGGGGGAAACCCUGAUGCAGCGACGCCGCGUGGAGGAAGAAGGUCUUCGGAUUGUAAACUCCUGUUGUUGGGGAAAAAGAGGAUGGUACCCAACAAGGAAGUGACGGCUAACUACGUGCCAGCAGUCGCGGUAAUCUGAGCGGGCUGGCAAGGC